rnacentral:rRNA from 1 species
GACGAACGCUGGCGGCGUGCUUAACACAUGCAAGUCGAACGGAAAGGCCCUGCUUUUGUGGGGUGCUCGAGUGGCGAACGGGUGAGUAACACGUGAGUAACCUGCCCUUGACUUUGGGAUAACUUCAGGAAACUGGGGCUAAUACCGGAUAGGAGCUCCUGCUGCAUGGUGGGGGUUGGAAAGUUUCGGCGGUUGGGGAUGGACUCGCGGCUUAUCAGCUUGUUGGUGGGGUAGCGGCUUACCAAGGCUUUGACGGGUAGCCGGCCUGAGAGGGUGACCGGCCACAUUGGGACUGAGAUACGGCCCAGACUCCUACGGGAGGCAGCAGUGAGGAAUAUUGCACAAUGGGCGGAAGCCUGAUGCAGCAACGCCGCGUGCGGGAUGACGGCCUUCGGGUUGUAAACCGCUUUCGCCUGUGACGAAGCGUGAGUGACGGUAAUGGGUAAAGAAGCACCGGCUAACUACGUG